AUUGAACGCUGGCGGCAGGCCUAACACAUGCAAGUCGAACGAGUGGCGGACGGGUGAGUAAUGUCUGGGAAACUGCCUGAUGGAGGGGGAUAACUACUGGAAACGGUAGCUAAUACCGCAUACCAUCAGAUGUGCCCAGAUGGGAUUAGCUAGUAGGUGGGGUAAAGGCUCACCUAGGCGACGAUCCCUAGCUGGUCUGAGAGGAUGACCAGCCACACUGGAACUGGGACACGGUCCAGAAUCCUACGGGAGGCAGCAGUGGGGAAUAUUGAACAAUGGGCGCAACCCUGAUGCAGCCAUGCCGCGUGUAUGAAGAAGGCCUUCGGGUUGUAAAGUACUUUCAGCAGGGAGGCGUUACCCGCAGAAGAAGCACCGGCUAACUCCGUGCCAGCAGCCGCGGUAAUUC
rnacentral:rRNA from 1 species